rnacentral:rRNA from 1 species
UGCGUAGGGUGCAAGCGUUAAUCGGAAUUACUGGGCGUAAAGCGUGCGCAGGCGGUUUUGCAAGACAGAUGUGAAAUCCCCGGGCUCAACCUGGGAACUGCAUUUGUGACUGCAAGGCUAGAAUCUGGCAGAGGGGGGUAGAAUUCCACGUGUAGCAGUGAAAUGCGUAGAUAUGUGGAGGAAUACCGAUGGCGAAGGCAGCCCCCUGGGCUAAGAUUGACGCUCAUGCACGAAAGCGUGGGGAGCAAACAGG